rnacentral:rRNA from 1 species
UACGUAGGGGGCGAGCGUUGUCCGGAGUUACUGGGCGUAAAGGGCGUGCAGGCGGUGCGGUAAGUUUAGAGUGACAGUAUCCGGCUUAACUGGAUAAGGCCUCUGAAAACUGCCGGACUUGAGGGCCAGAGAGGGACAUAGAAUUCCGGGUGGAGUGGUGAAAUGCGUAGAUAUCCGGAGGAAUACCAAAGGCGAAGGCAGUGUCCUGGCGGGCAACUGACGCUGAGGCGCGAAAGCUAGGGGAGCGAACAGG